CUCUAAUGCUCAUACUAAAAAGUCUGAUUCUCUUGAAAUCCUGUUUGCUCUUUGCAUAUUUAUUGGCUCUUUGCAUAUAUUAGACAACAUGCAAUACAGUCUGUCUUGCCAUUGUCUGUUGAAGUGCAGGUUUGAUCCAGCCAGUAUAGAACUAGCUCUGUAGGGGUGAGGAGGACUGUGCUGUGUAUCAUCCUUGAUUGUUCCUUCAAGGAGCAUUGCACUGUAAGUACAUCAGAAUGACAAAUUGAUGAACUGCAACAGUAUCUUUUUGUCAAUGUUCCACAUAAUGAAAAUGCCGUACUUGUGUGAAUAUUAUGUUGGAAUACAGUGCUGAUAUCUUAGGAAAUCGUAAUUGCUUCUUAAUUCAGAAACAUAGGUUUGCGUAUAUACAUAUUACAUACACAUAAUGUCAGCUUUGUGGGUAAGUAUUCCUGAAUGGUAUAGCAAUAGCAAAAAAAAAAAGAAAAAAUUAUGUUGCUGUUUAUCUGAGUAAUAGUAUUUCCUUUAGUGCUCUUGAGACAGCUGUAUCAUUCAGUGUAUUAAAGUAUGCAUAUCGUAACGUUGAAGUUUUUGGAGCCACUUGAUAGACAGAAGUUGUUUUUGUCGUCAGAUAGUUUGCAGAUAUGUAGUGAUGUAGGUAUGUUUUAACUCUAUAACUGUUACUUUACUUUCUUGGAACAACGUAUUGUUGCUUUGAGAAUAUUUUUUUUUAGGGUGGCUGCACAGAGAAGUAAAAGUUGAGGCUUGAAAUUUGAAGUAGUUUAUUCAGGUAAUUAGCAAUGUAUGUACUGUGCUGUAGAAAUGGAAGGAAUUAUUUUUAUCCCUUUACAAUUAGGAAUUAUUCUGGUACCUUAUAAAGGAUAGGAGGGUAUUUGCUAUCUUUAGUGUAGGGUAUGAAGUAUAAUAGUUCAGAUAUUUUGCAUGGUAUUUUGUAGAUAAUCUUAAAGAAUGGUGCAUUUGUUAUGUACUGAACUGAGCAAAAUUGAAUUCACUGGAUUCUUUUAUCAUUCACAAAAUGGAGGCUGUUGAUUUUGAUUCAUUUAAGGUAUAAAAUCUUUAUUAAUUGCAAACAGUGCAAUUAUUUAUACUUCACAGUGCCUUCCCAGACCUUCCACCUUAGGUUCUGCUGCAAAAAAGCAACAGUGCUGAAGAUGCUGCAAGCACCAAAUCAUAGCUCAUAGAAUCAGGUCCUGAGAUAGUUACUACCAGUAAAGAGGAAUCCUUUGAGUGUAUGCCAUUGGUGAGCCGAUGAGCAUGGACCAUAGAAGGGCUCCAUGUAGAAGAAACUACCCGUGUGUAAAAAGAAGAUUGGCUUUAAAAGGCAACUGUGAUGGGAACAGUGUCUUAGGGAGAUGCAGCUUGGACUUGAGGUAAAUUGAAUGCUUUACAAAAAUGUGGUUUUGAGCUUGCAUUGACAUUGUAUGUAAUAUGGGUACACGUUAACUGUAUAAUGUUUUUUGUAUGGUUUUCUUCAAUAAAUGUAAACUGAUGGAUA
rnacentral:lncRNA from 1 species